CGUUGAAACACCGGUUUCCGUACGAUCAACGAAGUUAAGCAACGCGGAGUCUGGCCAGCACCUAGACGGGUGACCGCUUGAGAAAAUCAGGUGGUGUAAG